GGAGGGUGCAAGCGUUAUUCGGAAUCACUGGGCGUAAAGAGCGCGUAGGCGGGUUUCUAAAGUCAGAUGUGAAAGCCCGGGGGCUCAACCUCGGAAGUGCAUUUGAAACUUAGGGACUUGAGUAUGGGAGAGGGAAGUGGAAUUCCUGGUGUAGCGGUGAAAUGCGUAGAUAUCAGGAGGAACACCGGUGGCGAAGGCGACUUCCUGGACCAAUACUGACGCUGAGGCGCGAAGGCGUGGGGAGCAAACAGGAUUAGAUACCCUGGUAGUCCACGCAGUAAACGUUGAACACCAGGUGUAGCGGGUAUUGACCCCUGCUGUGCCGCAGCUAACGCAUUAAGUGUUCCGCCUGGGGAGUACGGCCGCAAGGCUA
rnacentral:rRNA from 1 species